ACCUGGGCACACCUGGGAACAUCUGAAUACCCCUGGGCACACCUGGGUGGGAACACCUGGGCACACCUGGGUGGCCCUGUUGGGAAAGGUCCGGCACAGCCACGGUGUUUGUCCCCAAAUCCCCAGGUGGCUCCUGUCACUGUCACCGCCUGCCCGCUUACUGAGCUUUGGUUUUUUGGGUGCCACACAAUGAGGAAUGUGUCAGGAUUACAUUAUUUAGUCAGGAUGUUCCUUGCUGUGAGAUUUUUGUAGAUUUUCCAGGACAAUCACCAAAAACGAGAGACCUAAUCAGGGGAACAGAGCAGCAAAGGACACCCUGGAACUGACAAGUUUUAGGGAUGCAAUAAAUCAAUAUGCUGAUGUGUGUCUGUGUUGCUAACCUCUGUCCUAUACCUGAGGUUUGUAUAUCCUAGAGCUGAACUAUCUUGGUUAUAACACCAAAAAUCACACAUACAGGCCAAAAAGAGCCUGGCCAGGUGAAGAGCCUGCCCUGAGCAGGGGUAGAAGUUGGCUGGGUGACAUAAUUUGUAUGGGAAUUAAUAACCCAUUGUAAGAGAGGGGCUAGACUUGGAGAGUUACUAACUCUGAAUUCUGUGCACAAAAAAUGCUGGUCAAAGUCCAGUGGAUGUGCUGGAUUUGUGGGACACCACCAAGCCCCCACCCAGGCUUGGGCUCUUCUGAAGGUAUUUCAGUCUCCCGGAAGUAUUUCAUUAUUGGUUUGUUGCACACAGGGUAACAAAUCUGAUUUUGGGGACAAACAGUGCAAAUGUGCUCAUCUGAGGUGUCAGGGCUCCCCAGGUCACAGCCCACUCCACACCAGCACAGCUCUCAGCAAGGUGCCUUUAUUUACAACACAGGUGAGUGCAAAUGAAAACAGCCAGGGAAGAGCCAGGAAAUGCUGGCACUUCACAGCUUAUAAAGCCAUAAAGACACUCUACAAACAAAGAGGCCAGUGCUGUGAUUUGGGGCUGGGUAAAUACUGUAACAGCAUCCCUUUGGGGCUGGUCAGACCCCUUAGAACCGUGUGGGUUCCAGUUUUGGGGAGCAGGGGGGAGCACUGGGAUAGUGAGAAGAUGAAGGAAAAGUUCUUUGUUCAUGGGGCAGGAUCCUCCUGCUCUGCUUCACUGAAGGGAACUCACAGCUCAUGCAAAGUCACCCUCUUUCCAUGCAAGACUUUCAGGUUGAGCAGAGCCCCACACGGGCAGCGUGGGGCGUCUGUAAUCCACUUUUGUUCUAACACCCCAAAUUACAAGCUUUCACCAGCUGCUUUGGAAGCACCUGAGAAGAAAGAUGGUAAGAAAAGCAAACAUCCAUUACUCAGGGUUAUUGUCAAAAGGCAAAAUAAUAGAGGCAACUGCUGACCUCAGAAUCUGUGGGUAAAAUUUGUGCUGACACAUUUAAGCAAAAACAAUGAAUGUGGAAACAGUGCCAGACUUCCUGAUGCAAUUUUAAAACAAUAAAGGUUAAAGUAAUCAAAAAGCA
rnacentral:lncRNA from 1 species